GACGAACGCUGGCGGCGUGCCUAAUACAUGCAAGUAGGACGCAGUUGCGAACGUGUGAGUAACGCGUCGGUAACUGCCUAUUAGAGGGGGAUAACUAUUGGAAACGAUAGCUCAUACCGCCUACUAGUAGCUGGACCUGCUUUGUAUUAGCUAGUAGGUAGGGUAAUGGCCUACCUAGGCGACGAUACAUCGCUGACCUGGGAGGGUGAUCGGCAACACUGGGACUGAGACACGGCCCAGACUCCGACGGGAGGCAGCAGUAGGGAAUCUUCGGCAAUGGGGGGAACCCUGACCGAGCAACGCCGCGGGAGUGAAGAAGGUUUUCGGAUCGUAAAGCUCUGUUGUUAAGGAAGCGGUACUUAACCAGAAAGGGACGGCUAACUACGUGCCAGCAGCCGCGGUAAUUC
rnacentral:rRNA from 1 species